rnacentral:rRNA from 1 species
UGGGGAAUUUUGGACAAUGGGGGAAACCCUGAUCCAGCCAUCCCGCGUGUGCGAUGAAGGCCUUCGGGUUGUAAAGCACUUUUGGCAGGAAAGAAACGUCGCGGGUUAAUACCCCGCGAAACUGACGGUACCUGCAGAAUAAGCACCGGCUAACUACGUGCCAGCAGCCGCGGUAAUACGUAGGGUGCAAGCGUUAAUCGGAAUUACUGGGCGUAAAGCGUGCGCAGGCGGUUCGGAAAGAAAGAUGUGAAGUCCCAGAGCUUAACUUUGGAACUGCAUUUUUUAACUACCGGGCUAGAGUGUGUCAGAGGGAGGUGGAAUUCCGCGUGUAGCAGUGAAAUGCGUAGAUAUGCGGAGGAACACCGAUGGCGAAGGCAGCCUCCUGGGAUAACACUGACGCUCAUGCACGAAAGCGUGGGGAGCAAACAGGAUUAGAUACCCUGGUAGUCCACGCCCUAAACGAUGUCAACUAGCUGUUGGGGCCUUCGGGCCUUGGUAGCGCAGCUAACGCGUGAAGUUGACCGCCUGGGGAGUACGGUCGCAAGAUU